UCGGAUAUGGUCUAAUGGUUAGUAACAUUACCGCCUCUCAAGAUCUCAAGCGAACUCGUGGUAGCUCGGGGUUCGAUUCCCCGUAUCCGAA